rnacentral:rRNA from 1 species
UCGGGAAUUUUGGGCAAUGGGCGAAAGCCUGACCCAGCAACGCCGCGUGAGGGAUGAAGUAUUUCGGUAUGUAAACCUCGAAAGAAUGGGAAGAAUAAAUGACGGUACCAUUUAUAAGCUCCGGCUAACUACGUGCCAGCAGCCGCGGUAAUACGUAGGGAGCAAGCGUUGUUCGGAUUUACUGGGCGUAAAGGCGCGUAGGCGGCGCGGUAAGUCACUUGUGAAAUCUCUGAGCUUAACUCAGAACGGCCAAGUGAUACUGCUGUGCUAGAGUGCGGAAGAGGCAACCGGAAUUCUUGGUGUAGCGGUGAAAUGCGUAGAUAUCAAGAGGAACACCUGAGGCGAAGGCGGGUUGCUGGGCCGACACUGACGCUGAUGCGCGAAAGCCAGGGGAGCAAACG